CACGAUCUCUGCUCACUGCAAGCUCCACCUCCCAGGAUCCAUCUCUGAUGUUCAGUGAAGACGACCAGAACAGUCUGCUAGAGCAGUACCAUCUGGGUCUGGAUCAAAAAUGCAGAAAAUACGUGGUUGGAGAGCUCGUCUGGAAUUUUGCCGAUUUCAUGACUAACCAGUUCCAGGUUCCUAGGACCAGAGGGACCCCUCUGUAUGGCAGAGGCACCCGACAGCCGUACCUGAUGUGUACCCUCAGAAUGACUUUAUGGUCGAAGAAGAAAGUGUGUUCGGAGCCCCAAGCUAAGGAAUCAGGAGUGGCAAGAUCCCGGAAGGAUGCCAACCUGUGAAACUCUGAGUCAAGAGGUCAAGCUGGGCACUUGGUUUCUCAGGUCGACCGCUUGGCCCUCUUCCAAGUUGUACUUUCCUUCUUUCCUUUACUUCCUGUUGUAAAGUUUUUAAUAAUCAUUU